rfam:TPA: Bos taurus chromosome 7, whole genome shotgun sequence.
UGGCUCAGACGGUAAAGCGUCUGCCUGCAAUGCAGGAGACCUGGGUUCAAUUCCUGG